rnacentral:tRNA from 1 species
GUAGUUCAGCGGUAGAAUACAACCUUGCCAAGGUUGGGGUCGCGGGUUCGAAUCCCGUC